rnacentral:rRNA from 1 species
CAGCAGCCACGGGAAUACGGAGGGAGCUAGCGUUGUUCGGAAUCACUGGGCGUAAAGCGCACGUAGGCGGCUAUUCAAGUCAGGGGUGAAAGCCCGGGGCUCAACCCCGGAACUGCCUUUGAAACUAGAUAGCUUGAAUCUUGGAGAGGCGAGUGGAAUUCCGAGUGUAGAGGUGAAAUUCGUAGAUAUUCGGAAGAACACCAGUGGCGAAGGCGACUCGCCGGACAAGUAUUGACGCUGAGGUGCGAAAGCGUGGGGAGCAAACAGGAUUAGAUACCCCUGUAGUCCCUGUCUCUUAUAC